AACGAACGCUGGCGGCAUGCCUAACACAUGCAAGUCGAACGAGACCUUCGGGUCUAGUGGCGCACGGGUGCGUAACACGUGGGAAUUUGCCUCGGGGUAUGGAAUAACUCAGGGAAACUUGAGCUAAUACCAUAUAAUGUCUUCGGACCAAAGAUUUAUCGCCCUGAGAUAAGCCCGCGUAGGAUUAGCUAGUUGGUGAGGUAAAGGCUCACCAAGGCGACGAUCCUUAGCUGGUCUGAGAGGAUGAUCAGCCACACUGGGACUGAGACACGGCCCAGACUCCUACGGGAGGCAGCAGUGGGGAAGUAUUGGGACAAAUAGGGGCGGAAAAGGACCUGAACCAGCCACUGCCGCGUGCAGGAAGACGGUCCGUAUGGAGUUGUAAACUAGCUUUAUUACAGGAAGAACCCUACCCACGUGU
rnacentral:rRNA from 1 species